GUGCAUAUGAUGGAAAAAUUUAACUUCCUGAGGUCUGUGAUGUCUUCAAAGGAACCACUGAUGCAC
rnacentral:snoRNA from 1 species